CAGAAGAGGAAUUGAUAAAGAAGCAGAAAUGGUCCAGCCAGGUUUUCAUAUGAUCACUAGAAGACUUAUAGAUGUAUUCUCACCUACAUCACUGCCAUCUUAUUGGCCUGGGUGCAGAUACCUGAGGAGUGAGAAGAUUGCUGCUGUGCUGUAAUAGGGGCCUGCAGAACAGAACAAGUUGCUGUGUGACCUGGGCAAGGCGUGGCAGAAGGUAGAGGACCAGGCCUUGGCUUCAGGGGGUGGGGGAGGAUGGAAGGCCCCCCCAUGACUUAGCCUCCACUCUCGUAUGGAGAAGGGCCUAU
rnacentral:lncRNA from 1 species